UAUUACAAGAAACAAACAAGAAUCACUCGUUUAUUGAAAGAGUAGGAAGUACAAUCAAACCCAAGAAUAUUAUUCUCGCAAAAGAAAUGUGUGUCGCACAGGCUUGCCUAAGAAAUAAACCAUAAGAAUGUAUAAAUAAUAUAUGGGACUGCUAUGUUUAUAGUGGCGAAAGAUUCGUCAGAGGGUAAGAAGAAGCAUAUGAUGCGACGAAGAGCAAGAAGAAGAGCACAGAGAAUGUCAUCCUAUUGGAAUUUCCAUCCGAUCUUGGUGGUGCUGAUCCUCCUCCUGAAGGAGAACUUGGUGCUUCUGCUGGAGAAUUUGCAGGGGAGGACGCAUUGCAGCUGCUAAUAGGAGGAGUUUGGACUUGGCAAGCAUUCGGGAGAGCCAGGGCCUGAGUCAGAUUAACAUUGAUCCCAAGUGAAGCGACACCACCAUUAAUGACCUCACACAGACAUUGAGGCUGUGACCUAACCACAGCAGCCAGCUGCGUGCAACAUUGUGGUGUCGGGGUUGAUGAGUUUCCUGUUAUGUAGAGUAGGCACGGAGACAAGCUCAUAAGCGCAUUGGUGCAACUACUUGAUUGCCCCAUAGCCCCUGCCCACCAACUCGCUAUAACAGCCAAGGUAAGUAUGAUCUCCAUCCUCCUAGUCCUAGCUUCCAUUGCCUUCUAUAGAAAUUUCUGGCUACAGUGUUUGUGAAAUGUAGAUGAGGAUUGUUCUUGAUGUGUAUUCUUUUUUGGCCGCUU
rnacentral:misc_RNA from 1 species